UUCUUGCGGUACGUCAUUAUCUUCCCGCACAAAAGAGCUUUACAACCCUAGGGCCUUCAUCACUCACGCGGCAUGGCUGGAUCAGGCUUGCGCCCAUUGUCCAAUAUUCCCCACUGCUGCCUCCCGUAGGAGUCCCCCCGUGCCCCCGCCCCGCCCGCCGCGCGCGGCGGGCGAGGCGGGGG
rnacentral:rRNA from 1 species